CAAUGAUUUUUUUUGUCAUGGGACCACUGCCAUCGAGUCGAGUCGACGACACCAAGUUUUAUGGCUCAUCGUGCAUUAUUGUUCCGAAUGGAAUGGGCACAUCGUUGUUGUACU
rnacentral:ribozyme from 1 species